rnacentral:rRNA from 1 species
GACGAACGCUGGCGGCGUGCCUAACACAUGCAAGUCGAACGGAAAGGCCCUGCGUUUGUGGGGUGCUGGAGUGGCGAACGGGUGAGUAACACGUGAGUAACCUGCCCUAGACUUUGGGAUAACUUCAGGAAACUGGGGCUAAUCCAGGAUAGGAGCCCCUGCUGCAUGGUGGGGGUUGGAAAGUUUCGGCGGUUGGGGAUGGACGGGCGGCUGAUCAGCUAGUUGGUGGGGUAGUGGAUUACCAAGGCUUUGACGGGUAGCCGGCCUGGGAGGGUGACCGGGGACCAUAGGCCUGCGAGACGGCGCAGUGUCGUAUGGGAGGCAGCGGUGGGGAGUAUGAUACAGUGAGAGGGAGUCUGUUGCGGCGGCGCUGCGGUUGUGAAGACGGCCUGCUGGUUGUGAACCGCAGUCGCUUGUGACGAAGCGUGAGUGACGGUAAUGGGAGAAGAAGCACCGGCUAACUACGUG